GAUGAACGCUGGCGGCGUGCUUAACACAUGCAAGUCGAACGGUGAAGGCGGAGCUUGCUCUGCUGGAUCAGUGGCGAACGGGUGAGUAACACGUGAGCAAUCUGCCCCUGACUCUGGGAUAAGCGCUGGAAACGGCGUCUAAUACUGGAUACGAGCUGCGAAGGCAUCUUCAGCAGCUGGAAGAACUUCGGUCAGGGAUGAGCUCGCGGCCUAUCAGCUUGUUGGUGAGGUAACGGCUCACCAAGGCGUCGACGGGUAGCCGGCCUGAGAGGGUGACCGGCCACACUGGGACUGAGACACGGCCCAGACUCCUACGGGAGGCAGCAGUGGGGAAUAUUGCACAAUGGGCGAAAGCCUGAUGCAGCAACGCCGCGUGAGGGACGACGGCCUUCGGGUUGUAAACCUCUUUUAGCAGGGAAGAAGCGAAAGUGACGGUACCUGCAGAAAAAGCGCCGGCUAACUACGUG
rnacentral:rRNA from 1 species